rnacentral:misc_RNA from 1 species
GGCGACGCCGAUCUGGUCGAGAUUGCGCACCAGAUUGCCGUAGCAGCUCGCCAGCGAGCGCGGCAGCGAUUCAUUCAGGAUCAGCAGGUCGGCGAUCAGCCACGGUUUCAGCGUCUCGCGAUACACCCAGUGAUAGGCGGGGGGCGCCGAGACCGACCGCAGGAUNGCAGGAUCGAUGUCCACUGAUAGUAGUCGAGCGGGCCGCCGACAUGUUCUUCUUCGGGCAG